GGAUGUGAGGCAAUCUGACUGCAACAUCUGUCACCCCAUUGAUCACCAGGGUUGAUUCAGCUGAUCUGGCUGGCUAGGCGGGUGUCCCCUUCCUCCCUCACCACUCCAUGGGCAUCCCUCCCGAAGCUGAGUGCUCAGUCGAAGAGGAACGACCAUCCCCGAUAGAGGGACCGUUCUUGGUCAAGGCAUACGAGUAGCCAUGCUCCCCUGCUUAGAAACCUCCAAACAAGCUCUCAAGAACACAAAUAACAAGUGUUGGCAAGGAUGAGGGGAAAAAGGAACAUUCAUACACUGCUGGUGGGAAUCUAAGCUAGU
rnacentral:snRNA from 1 species